rnacentral:rRNA from 1 species
UCAAAGUCGGGGGACCGUAAGGCCUGACGCUUCUUGAUAAGCCCGCGGCCUAUCAGCUAGUUGGUGAGGUAAACGGCUCACCAAGGCUAAGACGGGUAGCUGGCCUGAGAGGACGACCAGCCUCACUGGAACUGAGACACGGUCCAGACACCUACGGGUGGCAGCAGUCGAGAAUUUUUCUCAAUGGGGAAACCCUGAAGGAGCGACGCCGCGUGGGGGAUGAAUGGCUUCGGCCCGUAAACCCCUGUCAUUUGCGAUCAAACCUUACGACCUAACACGUCGUAAGCUGAUAGUAGCGGAAGAGGAAGGGACGGCUAACUCUGUG